GACGAGGUGGCCGAGUGGUUAGGGCAAUUGACUAUUAGUCUAUUGGGGUCUCCCCGCGCGAGUUCAAAUCCCAUCCUCGUCG
rnacentral:tRNA from 1 species